UACAGAGGGUGCGAGCGUUGUUCGGAAUUAUUGGGCGUAAAGCGCAUGUAGGCGGUCUGUUAAGUCGCGUGUGAAAUCCCCAGGCUCAACCUGGGAAGUGCGCGCGAAACUGGCGGACUUGAGUGCCGGAGAGGGUGGCGGAAUUCCCGGUGUAGAGGUGAAAUUCGUAGAUAUCGGGAGGAACACCAGAGGCGAAGGCGGCCACCUGGACGAACACUGACGCUGAGACGCGAAAGCGUGGGGAGCAAACAGG
rnacentral:rRNA from 1 species